rfam:Xenopus laevis strain J chromosome 5L, whole genome shotgun sequence.
CCAAUGUGGAUAUCCUUAGAGGUCUCUCUUGGGCUCUGUCCAGGUGGCGUAUGGGAGCAUAUAGCACCUUAAAGGUGCAGUGACGUAUAAUCCCCUUCCACAACAUUGGAGAACAAGCAUGUCCCCAGCCAUUAGGCUGGUGUGGGCAGCAUCCUGUAUAUUCCUAAAACUUCCCAGAGCCCUUGGGCAAUAUCUGGGGAGACAAACCAUGCAGGAUACAUUU